rnacentral:lncRNA from 1 species
AGAGAGCUCAGCAAAUCUUGAGCAAUCUGAAAUUUAAAGGUAACAUCCAUGUUUGCGAGCUUCAUUAAAAGUUUCUUAAGAUUUUGAGUUUCUCAACUGAGGACUCAGAUUUAAAUCCCAAACAAUGUUUUGAGGAUGAAGGUUCUUUGUACUGUUUUGAAUGAGUCUUGGUUUUCAGGGUAGGACAACCUGCUGAAGUCUGAAGUGUUGUAAUUAUAUGAAUAAGUGGUUAGAGGAGAUGCCUAAACCCAGUGAAGUAGCUGUGAAAGUGAAAUAUCCUUAGACUUUCAUAAGAGCACGCAGAUUCUGACAUGUGCUCAGUCAGGAAAACUUUUGGUUUUCCCUUAUUUUGUUUCCAGCAGCGCAGCAGAGAUGUAAAGUGGCUUCUUGGUGCUACAGAGCAGGUCACCUCUUAAUAGCUCUACUCGCUGUUACUUCCGUGGUUACCAUCAGGAUAAGGCAUGAUAGACUUGCUAGUCUUCAGACAGUCCAACUACCUUCAUGCUUCAGACAUUUCCACUGGGACCUGCGGGGGAGACAGCGGUGGCAGUGGUCCUGGUCAAGGAGAGGGAGAAUAAAAGAAAACCUCCUACAGUUCAUUUUGGGUGGCUGUGGUGGAAAUUCAGACUUCAUCUCUCACCCACCACGUCUGGUAUUUAUCUACCCAAUAAACCAAGUAUAAUCAUAGCAAAACAUUUUAUUUGCUACACUGAGACUUUUCCUAUUGACCCAUACAGCUUCUUGUAAAGCCAAUGGGAAAUCCUUUUAUAGGCUUUAAUGGGCAUCAGAGCAGUCUUAAGCAGAUAUUGUAUGUUCUUCUAGUCUUAAAUGGACUCUCAAGAGCUUCCAUUCCAGAAAGUGCUGUAGAGGCUCCAUCAAGGUGCAUGGGCAUUUGAAACACUCAAAGCACUCUGAGGUUCUUAAAGACUUGAGAUACUAAAGAGGAGGAGAAGCUUCUCGGGAUCUCUGUGUUUCAUGUACAACUCAGUGUGCUGAGGCCAUGCUUCUACACUGAAUGCAGAAAGUUAUGAUGGUUCUACUGGUUCAUCUUUUGGUUUUGGUGGGAUUUUUUUGUUUGUUUUGUGUAACCAUUUUCUUUGUUGUAAAGCUAAACACUGCAAAAUGGAUAGAAUUAGAAAGCAGGUAAGAGGG